CAGAGAUUGCAUACAAAAAAAUAGUAAUGAAAAAAUUCAGCAUCUGCCUGGGGGCUUUCAGAAUGUUCCAAAACAUUCCAAAAUCAGAGCUCUCACUUUUAGGUAGUAAUGCAGUGGGCUCAAGUGGGAGUUGCUGGUUAUUCUGUACUUCUGAAAAUCAACCCAUUGGAUUUCCAUCCGAAGAGAACAAUAAGCUGGCUCUGUAAGUUGGAGUGGCCGUAGCCAUGGAAAGAACCCAAAAGCAUGGAAAGAACCAAAAAGCACUGUGCGUUGUUUUCAUCGAAGUCACGCGGCAAUUUCAUUAAAUCAAAAGAAAUAACUCAAAGGAAGAAGAGAUGGAAUUGCCAGGUUGCCCACUUGUGUGCUGUGACAUCCCCCAGCCUGUUCCAUGAAGCCCAUACAACACGACUUCACCAGAGCCCAGGGAAGGAAACACGGCACUUGAGAUGUGGCAUAAGCACUGGCCAGGGUGGCUUGGGCUGUUCCUCUGCAUGCUUCACAGCUGCAGGAGUGCACAGAAGAGUUCUGCUUCAGGACUUUUCAGUGAAUUGACAUCUUCGUAGCUGC
ensembl:lncRNA